rnacentral:rRNA from 1 species
UACGGGGGGGGGUAAGCGUUGUUCGGAAUUACUGGGCGUAAAGGGCUCGUAGGCGGCCAACUAAGUCAGACGUGAAAUCCCUCAGCUUAACUGGGGAACUGCGUCUGAUACUGGAUGGCUUGAGAUUGGGAGAGGGAUGCGGAAUUCCAGGUGUAGCGGUGAAAUGCGUAGAUAUCUGGAGGAACACCGGUGGCGAAGGCGGCAUCCUGGACCAACACUGACACUGAGGAGCGAAAGCCAGGGGAGCAAACGGG